ACGUAUCCAGAGAGUGGAGAUGCCAAGGGAACUGACCCGAUGCUCCACCCGCAACCAUCCGAAAGGAAAGGUGCGACCUUCAGCCCCGAAAGGGGAAAGAUAAUGA
rnacentral:ncRNA from 31 species